AAGUCGUAACAAGGUAACCGUAGGUGAACCUGCGGUUGGAUCAUUACAAAAAUGAGUUGUGCAGCAACUCUGCUGGUGCUCUUUUGCUUUGGCAGAAGAUGUGGCCUGCAGAUGAUGCCAACAACCAAUACAACACCCUUGUGUGAACCGUUUUGUCUCUGGCAGUUGGACGGAUGCAGUGGACUACUUCUCCCUCGCACCUUGGUGCAAGGUAAGAAGAUGUCUUUGCACCUGUUUGUCAGCUUGGCUGUGCCCGAGCCGUGGACAAGCUGCCGCCCAUGAUCUUACAAGCUCUGUAUCUUUUGUGUUAUUGAAGUGUCUGACAUAUGUACAUCAUAAUGUGCAAACAACUUUUGGCAACGGAUCUCUUGGCUCUC
rnacentral:misc_RNA from 1 species